GCUGAAUGGACAGUGUGAGACAGUUGGAGGGAGGAACUUGAGACAUGGAAAGCCUUGCAGGGGCAACAAGUAGUCCAGAAUAUGCUGAAUUGAAGAACAGGUUGGUGAUACUCCAUACUGGCUAGACCAGAAGGAAAAAACAUCUCCACUUUGAGAGGAAGACUCUUUUUCUUUACCUUCAGGGUGACUGAGUAAAUGGCUGAAGUUAGUCGGCUGUGUAAAAUGCAAUGUUUGAGCUUGGCACGAGAACCAGGGGAAAUAAAUCAACAAAACACAACACAACAACCCAAUGAUUAUUGUGGGAUGUUUUGCUU